CUGCAAUGAGCUGAAUUCAUCUCCUUCUGCUAUUUCCCACUCUUCAUUUGCUUCUUCUUCUUCUGUCUCAUUGCUUUUGAAGGUACAAUAUCUUAUCUUGAGUACUUCCAGAUUCGGUAGUGCACACAGAGCCGUCGUCACUGCCGGAGUUAUUACACAACCAAAGAUAUUUAAUUUUCUAAGAGUAGAUGGAUAUUUGGGUACGUGCAUAUAUUGAUCGCAUGAUGACCUCCAACUUAAUGUUUGGAGUUUGUGAAGAUGACUCAGAUCAACUACUUCACUCACCCAUGAGCCUUUAACCGCAUAAUAGAUUUUCAAGCUUUUUAUAUUUGGAAUGCUUUCCAAGAAACCCCUUCUAAUCACUGACGAACUUAUCCUCACAUUCCGUAUCGUCUGCAGCUUCUUCAGAACAAUUUUUUUCAUGUAAUCAUCUUCUAUCAUGAGAUAUGCACCCAACAUAAUGAGAUGUCUUAACUCAGACAUCUCCCACAACUCAGCUGGACAAGAGCCAUCGCCUAACAGAGCAAUCAACGUUUGCAAAUUACACAAUCUUGAUAUUCCACUUCUUGGCAAUGACUUGCAAUUGAUAGAUAAGUAGCGUAAGUUCACAAGUUGUAAUAUUUCUUCCGGGAACUCAAUCUUACGCAUUUCUAAUAAAUCCAACACCCUAAGCAAGUUUAAUGUGAAAACCAUGGGAGAUACAUUCCUAUCCAACUUGACAAAUAGUAGAAAUGAUCGAACAAGUGACAUCUCUGAUGAAGAAGCAUACUCAUCAAUAUCUUCCAUUCCAUAUGAUGUGUGAGUACUCACACGACGCAGCUGGUUAGAGAAUGUGAGCUCGGUGGAUUUCUUGACAUGUAGAAACUUCUCAUCAUCAGCUUUCCUAAUGCAUAAAUCUCUCAAAAGAUCAUGCAUGAUGUACCUCUUUGCUUUUCCAUACCAAUUAUAACUUGUAAUAACCGAAACUAGAUUCCUUUCUACAAGUGAGUUUAAAUAAUCCUCUGCCUCUUCCUCCAAACUUUUAUCUCCAUUCGAUUUCACAAAUCCUUCUGCUACCCACAUCUGUAUGAGUCUCAAGGAGUCAAUCUUAUAAUCUUCGGGGAAUGUUGCCAUAUAGAGGAAACAUGGUUUCAAGUGAAGCGGCAAAUGGUUAUAACUUAAGGAUAGUAUAUUGGAGAAUUGCUUGUCUGAUUCAGCAAUUGCAGCUCUUACAUCGUUCCCAAUAUUCUCCCAAACAUCUUUCAAUCUUUCCACCUUUGACAAGAGCCCUCCAAUCACAUUGAUAGCUAAAGGAAGCCCACCGCAAUCACUCGCAAUCUUCUCUCCUAUCCCUUGUAACUCAUGAGGCCAAUCCUCUUCUCCAAACACAAUUUGGCUAAGUAGAUCCCAACUUUGAGACUCGCUCAGCAACUGCACCUGAUGAUGCAGACUCUUGGAGUCUGCAUAUUUGGCGACAUCCGAUUCCCUAGUGGUGAUCACAAUCCGACUCUUGUUGUUGUUGUCCGGGAAGCUCCCCCUUAUCUCAUCCCAGAAUUUGAUGCUCCAAAUAUCAUCUAAUACAACCAUGUAUCUUCUACUGAACAAGCUCUGAUACAAAAUAACUUUUAACUCACUAUCGCUCUUUCCAUUAUGUUUGUCACAUUCUUGUUUUCCAAUUAUGCACUGAAUAAGGCUUAAUAGAAUUGAGCGCAUAUUGUAAUCUUGUGAAAUUGUGGUCCAAGCAAGAUAGCUAAAGUGGUGAAGAAUGAGUGGAUCUUGAUAAAGUGUUCGAGCAAGAGUGGUUUUACCUAUACCACCCAUACCCACGAUGGGCACGAUCUCCAGCUUGGUCUGAUUCCCGGUCAGCCGAUCCUUCAACUGCAUCAGAACUUCAUCAACUCCCACCACGACGCUCUUCGAACUCGAGAAAGAAGCACCACUCCAUGAGCUGCCAGUUGGCUUCUUGUUUGUCUCCACCUCCACGAGCUCCUCAACUUGUUGCGUUAAAGAAUCAAGUUUUUGUGUCACAAGCAGCACAUCUGGUGUCGCGUCUUCUUCUUCUUCUUCUUCUUCUGGCAUCGAAAACAGUUGUUCAAGCAUGUAAGAUUCAUGCAUCGAGAAAAUUCGUCUAACCAUGUGAGAUUCAACGAUAUCUUCUGCUUCAUUUGCUACGUCUCUGAUUUGGCACUCCAAGCUUGGUAUUUUGGAGAGUAGUGGAGUUUUUUGGAGAAUCUGCUGCUGCAGGUAAGAAGCUUUUUCGAGGAGGGAUUGGAGUUGUGGUUUCUCACGUCCAAGAAUCCAGUGUGUUUGUUCGGGAUCCAGAAUUCCUUGAAGGAUGGUGAUGAGGGAUUGAAGAUUGUAUGCCAUUUUUCAGAUCUCUUCUCACUCGAAAAAUAAAAAAAACAAAAGGAAAGGAAAGUGGUGUUCAGGUAAAUAUGGCUGCCAUUAUUAAGGCCAUCUUUGUCGGUAGGAAAAUUGGGGAGUGCUCACUCUCUCAUCUAGUUUGGAUCAAUGGUGCAACGACAUUUGUCAAUAUUUGAUUGAUUGAGCAGAUUUUGUUAGGAUAACUAGUUUGAAUCAUUUCGUCAGUCACGCAUAUAAUAAUUCCAUGCUAAUCGGAUAAAAUAAAAAUUAAAUAGAUAAAUAAUAAACAAAGUCAAUGUUUCAUGCAUUGUUUGAAAGAAACAAACAACACCCCUUCUAAAUAUGGGGUUAAGUAAAAUGGCGGAAAAAUAUUUCUGCUAAGCAAUUCUGCUUCUAUAUUAUGCGGAGGCAAGCUACGCAGGCCCCGUCCGUAGGGCGUACGUGCUCGAGAUCGGCGAUGAGGUCGUCGGCAUCUUCGAUCCCGACGGAUAUACACACGAGAUCCUUGGUCAGACCUCGCGCCUCGCGUACCGCUGCAGGUAUGCAUGAAGCAGGGCAAGCUGAUGAGGGACUUGACGCUCCCUGUCGUUCCAAAACAAACACUUUCAUGCUUGAGUUAAAAUUACUCGGGAGCGUGGCGGGCAAAUCGAGUAACGAACCGAGAAUACUCACCGAAACUCACGGUUAUGCUGAAAUACUUUGUCGUCUCAACGACGUGCUUGGAGAGAGCCAACGACCCCGUUAAGAAGCUCAGCACGGAUCCUGCACCCUUCGCCUGCACCACGGGGGCAGAUCAAUUAUAUAAUAGUGAAUAUUGUUGUGAGUGGAGUUUGAACUCUACUAUUGUUGUGAGUGGAAUUUGAGGAUCCUAUUGCUAUAAAUGGAAGUGACAAACAUAUUGUGUACAGACCAAAACAGAAAAAGUGACGACGAUAUUGUGAACGAAGAGAGUAGUAAAAAUUACAUACACCUCGGAUCAGUACCUGAGAGUAAUGCAAAGAUUUCCAAUUCUUGUAUAAUCAUAAGUUCCAGGUUCCGUAGCUGAAGGCUGCAGAACAACAGAAUCAGUUGCAAAAGGAAAACUAAAGUUACUUCAACGUUCAGAGACAUUCCUCGAUUUUCAGAAGAGCUUCAAUAAACACCAUUACCCCCAAAAGGCUUCUUCUGAUCUCUCACUUUACAGGAAACCUCUCAAAACAUCAAAGCUAGAACUCACCUGCUUGAAAGUUGCUGUUUGAUAUAGAGGCGUGCUUAAAGCCUCAUAAGGAUCAAAGUCAUUGGAAAAAUUCAUCAACACCGUGGAAACACUUGGCUCCACUUGGCGACUUGUUUGUAUGAUCUCUUCUUCUGUCACAAGUUUAUUACAUUACAAUUGCGCAAACUUUAACACGUCAUGCCUUAACAAGCACGAGCUACAGUAAAGAUAUAAACGUGUGUGUUUCCCUAAAACAGCUUGAGUAUGUAAUAUACAGCUACCAUUUGUGCGUUCGGCAACUCCAUCAACCAAAGCAGACGUGCUGACAUCCAUCCCUUUGUAUCUCAAGCAAUGGAAACAAACAGAGAUGCUGUAAGAGAUCUGUAAAUGUUAGCGCAAAAUGGUAGUUAUGUUGCGAUCAGUUUAUUGAUCAAAGAUAGAGGUUGUAUGUAUGGCAUUUUGUUACAGAGGAAACAAGGUAGUCAGGCAUUAGUUGGCUGGAAACAUCAAAUAGCAAAUGGCAAGAUAAAGGAUAAACAGAGAGCUAAAACACUUUAAAAUUUUCUGCAGAAUGGUAAUAAAACGAGUGAUUGCAUAGCCUAAUACUUCUGAAUUUAAUACUUCCAAAUUUCUCAAAGGGCAUCUGUGGAGUAAUGAUACUUCUCACUGAUUUGAAACAUAGUAUAGUUGCAAUUGGUUCUUGUGUUCAUUAUUUUAAGUGUAUAUUUCAGGACAUUUGUUUAAAUAUUUAUUUAAAGUGAUACAUCUUGUUUUUGUUUGUGUUUGUGAUCAGCUUGAGAGAAUAGUUUGAUCUGGCUGCAAAAAGGAUGAUCGACUCGGAUAAAGGAGUGUUUGUUUUUUCUUAGAAUUUGUUUCAAGAUGCUGAUAUCAUCACAAGUGGCAUGUUACCUCAUCUUCGAGAUUUCAUAUUGUUCAAGAAAAUAUUCAAGUUGUGAAUGGAUUCGAGUUUGACAUUGUACAAUUUUGAGACAUUUAUGCAUAUUACUACUUUGUCUUAGUGUCAUAUUUUGAAUAAUCUUAUACCCUAUUCGUCUAAUAAAAAUAGUCAUAUAUUUUCAUUUUAAAACAUUCACAAAAAAUAGUCCUAUUUUAUUUUCAAACAAGGUCAACGACAAAUUAAUAGUACAUACUAUUAUCUUUAUAUCAAUUUAUUUUAUCUAUUCUACAAUACAUGGUUAACUACUUUAAUUUAGUGCUCGUUUGGUUCACGUAGAGGAAUAGAAAUGGAAUGAAAUCAAAUAAAGGAGUGUAAUGGUAACAAUGAAAAGGAAUCACUUGUAAGAUAUUUCCUUUUUUUUUUUUUGAGGAAUAAUAAUAAUGCACGGUUCUGAAAAAUAUCACCAAACAUAGAAGUUUGUAGGUUGUGUUGUAAGCCUUUUUAAAAAAUUGGCAAAAUUUUCAUUUUUGUUGAAGAUUGAUUCUUCAAGACUUGUACAUGCAUUAAUAUACUUGGGUUUCUUUGGAUUUUAAAGUUGCAUCUAGGGCUGUAAACGAGCCGAGCCGAGCCGAAUACAAGCAGGCUCGAGCUCGGCUCGUUUAAAUAUUCGGGUGUUCGAGCUCGGCUCGAGCUCGAUUCGAGCUUUUAUCUUGAUGAUCGAGCUCGGCUCGUCACCCACAUACUAAGCUCGAGCUCGGUUCGAGUUCGGCUCGGGUGAUGCUCGAUAAUGUCGAAUUCGAGCUUGAGCUCGAGCUCGGCUUGUUAGAUGUUCGUAUUUAUGAUGUUCAAGCUCAAAUUUGUUAUAAAUUUAAGAAAAUAUUUUUAAUUAAUAUGUUAUUCGAGUUCGAGUUCGACUCGUUUAAGGCUCGUUUACUAACUCGAUUGAAGGCUCGACUGAAAGUUCGUGAACAGGCUCGCGAACAUGUUCACGAACAAUCGAAUUCGAACAUGUUCGCGAGCUCAACGAGCCGAGCACUGUCAGGCUCGAGCUCGGCUCGAUAAAAAUUUUGAGCUUGAAAUCAGGCUCGAGCUCGGUUCGUUUAUUAUCGAAUUGAGCUCCGAACGAGCUUUUUUCGAGCCGAAUAUCGAAUAGCUCGCGGGUAGCUCUGUUCAUUUACAGCCCUAGUUGCAUCAAACCAAAAAACUUACAUAUAUAAAGAAAUUAAAGGAGAAAAAAAAAGGAGGGGAGGACAACUUGCUAGAAAAAAAAAACAAUGGGGCAAUUUAAAAUUGAUAAAAAUAGUUAUUCAAAUGAGGAAAAAACAAGGCAGUAAAAAAAACACGAAAAGUGAAAAACAAAGCAAAUUGUGAAGCAAUAGUAGACAAGACAAGAGAAGGGAAAUCAAAUGAGUUUCAAAUGUGGCCACUUUUAGUCGUCUUCAUCUUCCUUUCUUUGCUGAAAUCGGUGCUAAAAAAAUAAAAUAAAAAAUUAUUACGAUACAAAUAUAUGUGUUUGGAAAGCAAGGCGAAAGAUUUUAUUUAUUUUUGGAUAGGCAGAAAGUGAUAAUAAUACUGACCAAAUCAUCAUCUGAGUGAGUCGAUACGAAGUUGGAAUUGGUAGUUUUCGUAUUCAGAUUGCUGCUCCUCAUGAAUCUGUUUCGCUGAGGCGUCUGCAGAAUCGCUGCAACCAUCUAACUCGAUUAAUUGGAGGGUUGGGAUUUCUCCAAUGCCGGCGGGGAUUUCCUCUAGAUAAAGACAAUAUUCUAAACAGAGAUGGCGGAGUCUAGGGAAGUUGGUUUCAUCAACUCUCCAACGCACUAGAUAUAAAAAAUCAAGAUGUAGAAAGUUGGAGUUGGAGUUGGUAGUUCUCGUAUUCAGAUUGCUGCUCCUCCUGAAUCUGUUUGGCUGAGGCCACUGCAGAAUCGCUGCAAUUAUCUAAGUGGAUUAAUUGGAGGGUUGGGAUUUCUCCAAUGCCGGCGGGGAUUUCCUCUAGCUUCCAACAACUUCGUAUAAAGAGAUGGCGGAGUCUAGGGAAGUUGGUUUCAUCAGCUCUCCAACGCACCAGUAGUGUAUGAUUGAGUUGUAGAAAGUGCAAUGAGCUGAAUUCAUCUCCUUCUGCUAUUUCCCACUCUUCAUUUGCUUCUUCUGUCUCAUUGCUUUUGAAGCUACAUUUGUGCAACUUGAGCACUUCCAGAUUCGGUAGUGCACACAGUGCAGUCGUCACUGCCGGAGUUAUUACACAAAAAUCCAGAUUUAAUUCUCUAAGAGUAGAUGGAAACUUGACUGCGUGCAGAUAUUGAUGCCAUGNAAAAUCCGUGAAAAACAAAGCAAAUUGUGAAGCAAUAGUAGACAAGACAAGAGAGGAGAAAUCAAAUGAGUUUCAAAUGUGGCCACUUUGAGUCGUCUUCAUCUUCAUUUCUUUUCUCUUCCUCUUUAUGUGCUCUGUAGAUAUAUAUGUGACACAAGAAAUUAGUUGGUUUCAUCAACUCUCCAACGACACUAGAUGUAAAAAUACAAGAUGUGAAAGUUGGAGUUGGAGUUGGUAGUUCUCGUAUUCAGAUUGCUGCUCCUCCUGAAUCUGUUUGGCUGAGGCCACUGCAGAAUCGCUGCAAUUAUCUAAGUGGAUUAAUUGGAGGGUUGGGAUUUCUCCAAUGCCGGCGGGGAUUUCCUCUAGCUUCCAACAACUUCGUAUAAAGAGAUGGCGGAGUCUAGGGAAGUUGGUUUCAUCAGCUCUCCAACGCACCAGUAGUGUAUGAUUGAGUUGUAGAAAGUGCAAUGAGCUGAAUUCAUCUCCUUCUGCUAUUUCCCACUCUUCAUUUGCUUCUUCUGUCUCAUUGCUUUUGAAGCUACAUUUGUGCAACUUGAGCACUUCCAGAUUCGGUAGUGCACACAGUGCAGUCGUCACUGUCGGAGUUAUUACACAAAAAUCCAGAUUUAAUUCUCUAAGAGUAGAUGGAAACUUGACUGCGUGCAGAUAUUGAUGCCAUGAACGCCAGCUUAAUGUUUGGAGUUUGUGAAGAUGACUCAGAUCAACUACUUCACUCAUCCCUGAUGAAACAUACCAGAUAUGCAAGCUUUUUAUAUUUGGAAUGCUUUCCAAAAAACCCCUUCUAAUCACUGACGGGCUUAUCCUCACAUACCGUAUCGUCUGCAGCUUCUCCAGAACAAUUUUUUUCAUGUAAUCAUCUUCAAUCUUUUGAUAUGGACCCAACAUGAUGAGAUAUCUUAACUCAGACAUCUCCCACAACUCACCUGGACAAGAGCCUUCGCCUACCGUAGCAAUCAAGGUUUGCAAAUUACACAAUCUUGAUAUUCCACUUCUUGGCAAUGACUUGCAAUUGAUAGCUAAGUAGCGUAAGUUCACAAGUUGUAAUAUUUCUUCCGGGAACUCAAUCAUAUAAUACUUAUUCAUUUUCAAUAAAUCCAACACCCUAAGCAAGCUUAAUGUGAAAACCAUAGGAGAUAGCUUCCGAUCCAACACGAUCAAGAGUAGAAAUGAUCGAACAAGUGGCAUCUCUGAUGAAGAAGCAUACUCAUCAUCUUCCAUUCCAUAUGACAUCUCUGAUGAAGAAGCAUACUCAUCAUCUUCCAUUCCAUAUGAUGUGUGAAUACUCACACGACGUAGCUGGUUGGAGAAUGUGAGCUCGGUGGACUUCUUGACACGUAGAAACUUCUCAUCAUCAGCUUGCCUAAUGCAUAGAUCUCUCAAAAGAUCAUGCAUGUUGUACCUCUUUGCUUUUCCAUACCAAUCAUAACUGCUAACCGAAACUAGAUUCCUUUCUACAAGUGACUUUAAAUAAUCCUCUGCCUCUUCCUCCAAACUUUUAUCUCCAUUCGAUUUCACAAAUCCUUCUGCCACCAACAUCUGUAUGAGUCUCAAGGAUUCAAUCUCAUAAUCUUCGGGGAAUGCUGCCAUAUAGAGGAAACAUGGUUUCAAGUGAAGCGGCAGAUGGUUAUAACUUAAGGAUAGUAUAUUGGAGAACUGCUUGUCUGAUUCAGCAAUCGCAGCUCUUACGUCGUUCCCAAUAUUCUCCCAAACAUCUUUCAAUCUUUCCAACUUUGACAAGAGCCCUCCAAUCACAUUGAUAGCCAGAGGAAGCCCACUGCAAUCACUCGAAAUCUUCUUCCCUAUCCCUUGUAACUCAUGAGGGCAAUCCUCUUUUCCAAACACAAUUUGGCUAAGAAGAUCCCAACUUUGAGACUCGCUCAGCAACUGCACCUGAUGAUGCAGACUAUUGGAGUCUGCAUAUUUGGCGACAUCCGAUUCCCUAGUGGUGAUCACAAUCCGACUCCCGUUAUUGUUGUCCGGGAAGUACCUCCUUAUCUCAUCCCAGAAUGUGGUGCUCCAAAUAUCAUCUAAUACAAUCAUGUAUCUUCUACCGUACAAGCUCCUAUACAAAAUAUCUUUCAACUCACCAUCUCCCUUAUGUUCAUAGUCUGAUCCAGUUAUGCAACGAAGAAGGCUUAAUAGAAUUGACCGCAUAUUGUAAUCUUGUGAGAUUGUGGUCCAAGCAAGAUAGCUAAAGUGUCAAAAUGGAGUCGAUAAAGUUUUCGAGCAAGAGUGGUUUUAGCAAUACCACCCAUACCCACGAUGGGCAGGAUCUCCAGCUUGCUCUGCAUCCCGGUCAGCCGAUCCUUCAGCUGCAUCAGAUCUUCAUCAACUCCCACCACGAUGCUCUUCGAGCUCGGAUCUGGCAACAGAGUAGCACCACUCGAUGAACUGCCACUCGGCAUCGUCUUCCCCUCCACGAGCUUCACCACUUGUUCCAUUACAGAAUCAAGUUGUUGAAUUUCUUGUUGUAGAUCUGGCGUAGAAAAAGUAAAUCUCACGCCUUCAGGGCUGGAAAGCAUUUGAGCAACCAUCUGAGAUUCAAUGAUGUCUUCAGCUCUAUGUGCUGCUUCUUGGAUUUGACUUUCCAAAUUCUCUAUAAUAUUGGAGGGUGAAGAUUUUUCAAGAAUCUGCUGCAGAGAAGCAGCUUUUCCGAGGAGGGAUUCGAGUUGAGGUUUGUUGUGAUCAACAAUCCAGUGCGAUUGUUCAGGAUUCAAGAUUUGUUGUAGGAUGGUGAUGAGGGGUUGAAGAUUGUAAGCCAUUUCUCUGAUCUCUUCUCACUCACAAAGGAUAGGCAAAUUUGUAGAUAUCACAACAAUGAUCCAAUCUGUAUAAGCUAGGCAGCUGUUGUAUUGACUUUGAGUAGUAUAAAAUAUUGUGUAGUUGGCUAUUAUUGUAUUAGGGUGGUUGUAGUUUGCAUAUUUUGAAUUGGGUGCAUCCAUUUUUAUAUGAUCUUGGAAAGAGAGUUCAAUAUGUUAUGUUCUUAUUCAAGAUAUAUUUGCAUUAAUUGUUGUGCAAUUUUGUAAGUGGUGAUAUAUCUCUGAGUUUGUUGGAUUUGGGGAAUUGGUAGCUUAGACAGUUAUUUUCUUGGUUUGUAAAUCUUGCUUGGAGUUGGAUAUCUAUACAUAGUCUAAAUCUCGGAUUGGACUUUACUUGAGAAUUUUUGUUAAAUCUCAUUUUUACAUUGUUUUCUUAUAGAAAAUCGAUUCUUAUUUCUUUAUGCAGAUCUUGCCUUUUAAUUUACUAUCAUAUGUUGAAGAUAAGAAUUGAUUGAGAAUGCUAUUAUAUAAAAUUAAGUUGCUCAUCAUAAAAAAUGUGAGAGAGAUACAGAACUAAUUUAAAAUCAAACUGGAUUAUGUACAAAUAUUAAACAAAAUUUCAUUCUCCACACUCAAAUUUGUACAGGAGCAUCGUUGGUGGCCUUCAAUAUCUCACGCACACUCGCCCCGAUAUUGCCUUCUCCGUGAACAAGCUCAAUCAGUUUCUUUCUCGCCCCGAUAUUGUCUUUCUCAACAGGAACUUGGUUUGCAUGUAUCUACUCCUCAUCAAGUGUGGUGCGGCAAUACCAGUGCUGUUGCUCUCUCAGCCAGUCCGGUCUUUCAAUCGCGGACGAAACAUAUCUAAGUAGACGUUCAUUUUGUUCGAGAAAAGGUCAUGGCCAAAACUCGAUUUUGUCUCCUUGGCAAUAAACUUGGGCUCUUUUCUCCCGGAUGAAGAAAUUCAAAGCUCAAUCCUUUUGGGAGUAUGUUAACAAUAUGUAAAAUGCAGAAAUUUCUCUAUCUUGUUCUCUCUCUUCUGUUCAAUCUCUCUCUCUCCUGUUCAAGAUAUUUCCUAGUAUAAUUCAACAGAAAUUGUAUGUGAUUUAUAGACAAACCUUUCUCCUUUGAUAGCAAGCACACCAGCCAUGAGGUCCCUGUGACCAGCGAUGAACUUUGUAGCCGAGUGCAUCACGAUAUCUGAAAAUUGAUCGACACACUAAGGUUCAUUCUGUAUAUUAGCCAAAAAGAUUACCAAAGGAGGUGUGUUGUUACCAGCUCCGAGCUCUAAGGGUUGAGACAGCACGGGAGACAUGAUGCUGUUGUCCACCAGCACGAGAGCGCCACAGGCAUGUGCAAGCUCUAAGUAAUAUCAUGCAUGCUAAUUUUAUUUAGCUAAAAGUACUAGAACUAGAACUGUUUAAAGUACUAGAACAAUGAAAGAAACAAUCCACUAUUUGCGCGAAACAGAGAAUAGAGGCUAGACACUGUUUGUGUACCUUUACUCUCUGAACAAAGGAGUCGAAUUCGGGUACAUAGAAACAGACAUGGUGCCCUCUUGGAAGGUUCUUUGGGUCUGCCACCGCCGCCGUGGAGCAGCUCCAUGGACCUUCGGGAAGCAUGACGGUGGGGUCCCUUUCUAUGAGGUGCAGCAACAUAGAUGAACCAAGCUUCAACCAUAUCACCUCAAAUUCGAACUUUGGAGACUCUACUUGCUCAAACCCAAAAACCUUCAUUACCCAAAAACAAAACAAAAACAAAAGCAGACUCACUAAUCAAGAUCAAAUUUGAGCUUUGGAGACUCCACCUGCUCAAACCCAAAAACCUUCAUUACCCAAAAACAUAACAAAACAAAAUAAGAAACACUAAUAAAGAUCAAAUUUGAACUUUGGAGACUCCACCUGCUCAAACCCAAAAACCUUCACUACAAGUAAACAAAAAAAAAUGGUCCCACUAAUCAAGAUCGCUUUUUUUACUCAUUGCACUAUUCAAUUGCUUAAAUUUUCCAAUGAUUAAACACAAUCUGAUUAAUUACUAACUGAAACCCUAAGAGUCUAACAAGUGAAAAAUCAACAUAUUUUUCAUUUUAUCCGGAACCUUAUCUACACCAAGAAACCAACACCUUUGGCUUAAAUUCGAAGAUUCCACAAGACCCACAAAAAUCAACUUGCUAUUUUUACUAAAAAACUCAUAAAUUUGGCGAAAUUAAGAAAGUGAAAACUCGAAGGGUAUCAGCAAAAGAUGUACCUCCAUGUAGAAUUUAGAGAGGCGUUUGAUAUCAGACGUUUCUCUAGAAAUGUGAUUGAGGCAAGGUCCUUGAGCUGCCGCCGCCGCCAUUAGCACUUGUUGGAUUUGGAGGCGAAGAGAUUUUCAGUUUCUAAGCUACCGGCGAAUUCUUUUCUAUGCCGACACGCAUUUCACUGUCAAUCAAGUAACACCUACGCUCUCCACGUGUACACUCACUCAUUUAAGAAUAAUAUUCUUUUCUUACUUUAAUUUUUUGAAUGCGGCAAAAUUUAUUUUAUUGUAAAUAUUGAAAUCAUAUUGUGAAAAAACGUUAUAAAUAAAAUAAUCGAAAGAUGGCAAGAAGGAACAAAAUCAUCUACAUUAUGUUUAAGUAGCCUAUUGCAUGUGUUAAAAUUCUAUUUUCUGAUUUACAUAUUGUGUUCUCCGUAGCUAUAAGCAUUCGGUUGUCGAAAAUAAAUUAGUUUGAGAUUAUUCGAAAUUGAGUCCGAGAUUAAUUUUGUUAUAGAAGUAAACCAAGAUUAUUUGUAUGUGGCAUUGUCUCGAGACUGAAUAUCGAGUUGUAUCUAUCCAAUUGAACAAGAUAUCACAAAAUUAAUCUAAUCUAAUCUUUCAAAUUGAACGAAGAUAUAUAUGUUGUUUUAUUGAGCCUACAACUUCAAUCAUGCGAACUAAAAUAAAACUUGAAAUCUUGAAGUAUAGAGAACACAAUGACAAGCCAUACCAAAGUGUGGUAGCAUUUAUUUAUUUGAAAUUUUUUUAUUGAUAAAUUAACAGUAUUAAAUAAAAUUAUUUAUUUGAAACUAAUACAACGAAAAGCAACUAAUUAAUUGUGACAUAAAAUGUGAGAGGACUUUCACUAAUUUCUUCGACUAUACUUUGCUUCCAAAUCUUGUCUAGUAGAGCUGAGGGGCAGGAGCAGGAGAAUGCCCAUGGUGUCUCGGUGGAUGUGCGUGGUGGCCGUGAGGAGACGGAGCAUGGUGGUGGUGAUGGUGGCGAGGAGGGUGUGCAUACUUGUGAUCGUGGUCGUGGUCAUGGUCGUGAGGAGAGGGAGCAUGAUGGUGGUGGGGUUUGAUUAUUGAAUCCACACUCCAAUUUAAAUUUCCUUCGAAAUCACGAGCAAGUGAGGAAGUAGUAGCAAGAGCCAAGAAGCCGAGAAGCAGUAAGAGAGAGUAUGCAAUGGACAUUUUUUUUUUCAGUUUGGUUUGCUUUGGUAGAAAAAUGAGUAAGAGUUGAGCCAAUUUAUAGGAAUUAUAAUGUCCCACGCUCUCAUGAUUUAGUCCACCGAUUUGAGUUUCUUUCCAUGCUUAAAAAUUAUGAAUUUAUAUACUAAUAAGAUUUAUUGGUUUUUAAUUUGAAGUUUCCAAAUACAAAAUGAGAACACAUUGAUGAGAGCAUUAAUUAUAUAUUGACUCAUUUUGAAAAAGAUACAUAACGCAUGCCGCAAAUUAGUUUGUUAACCCUAUUCUUAAUGGCAAUUUACAAUAAAUAGUAUUUGUUUAAUGAUUUUUUUAAGUUGGAUUAUAGGAUCCUAACUAUAAAACCGUAUGGAAGUAUAUAACCUAAAAAAAGAGUCUAAAGUUGAUGAUUUCAUGACAAUAAUCCAAAAAAUAAAUACUACUGUAUAAUUUUUAUCUCAUUGAAUUUUCCUCUAUGUGUUCCUGCUUAAUUAGUUGUUUUCAAUUUGAUUUGCAUAAUAAUUAGUCUACCGAUCGGUAGUUUAAUUUUAAAUUAUAAAACAAAAUACCCCAUUUUAUCACUUCAAAAUAAUGGAAUCCAUUGUUCCUCGUGUAGGAAUGGUUAAUUAAUAAUUUUGACAAUUUUUAUACGGGAUGAGAUUCAGUGUCCCACGAUUUAAUGUGUGUCGUCAUGUUCCACUUUUAUAACUAGUAGUAUUAUUUAAAUAAUAACUUUAUAAAUAUAAAAUUUAUUUAUAAUACUAUGAUUUAUACUUUUUAUUUUAAAAAAAUAAUUUUCAAAAAUAUAUGUCAUAACUUUUAAUUUAUUAACAUAUUAUUAGCUAAUAAAAAUAAAACUAAAUGAUAAAAAUAAUUAUAUUACCCUAUUUAGAUGGAAUAAAUCCUAGUCAAUAAUCAUAAAAUUAAACUAAAGCAUAUAAAUUAAGUUGAAAUUGAAGAAAAAGACACAUGCACAUAUAUACGUUAUAAAGUUUUCAGAGGGAAAAGAAAAACAUGCACACUGGUAAUUCUCAUCACUAUUAAUUUAUAAAUAAGGAUCAUUUAGUUCAUAAUGUAAAAUUCCAUACAAUAGCAAAUUAAAUUAAACUACUAAUUUAUUUUCUUCAAUAAUUGGAUACUCUUUCAAAGGCUUUAUGGUGGAGGAGCAUGAUGAUGGUGGUGUGGAGGAGCAUGGUGGCGAGGGUUUUUUGGUGCGCCGCCGUGACUGUGAUGAGGAGGCGGAGCACGACGGUUGUGGUGGUGGCGGCUGCCGUGAGGAGAGGGAGCGUGAUGGUGAUGGUGGUGGUGCUUGAGUGAAUUAUCAACACUCCACAACAUAUCCUCAUCUUCAUCAUUUUCAUCUAUAUUGGAAUCGAAUAAUGAUGCAUCUUCUUCUAAACUACGAGCAAGAGAUGCAGUGACCAAAAAAAUCAAGAAUCCGAUGAGAAAUAAGAGGGAAUAUGCACGACACAUUUUGUUAUUGAUUUUGUUUUUGUGUGAUGAGAGAAAUUGAAUAAGGUCUAUCACAUUUUAUAGUGGAUGUGAAUGUUACAUCAAUUAAGUUCAUUGGCCAAGAAUAUAGGUUACAUCUAAUACGAUGAUAUUGAUUUAAAUUAAUGGAAAUUUAAAAUUAAUGUGUUUUCUUAAGUUGUCUUUAUAAUAUGAUAACUAUUUCCCGAUACUUCUAUGUAAUCUUUUUCAAAUAAAUUAAUUUCUUGAUGUAUUCUACCUUUAAUUAUAUGAAUUCUUUAAUUUGAAAUUUAUUCAGCGUACGUGACCUUUUAUUUUUGAAUUAUAAUAAAAGUAAGUGAGAUCCUUACUCCACUUUAAUCAUCUUAACACUCUCAUAAAAGUGGACCCUUAUUGCACUCACAACACACUUAAUUAACCACUUUAUUAAAAUUCGUAUCAUUCUCAAAUGAAUACUAAAAUGUGAGACAAAUAUAGUAAAAAAUCAAGUUAUUAAUUAGAAGAAUACUAAGCUAAUUAUUGGCAAAAUUUACAUUAAUGUCAUUUCCCUCCAAAAAUACCCACACAAUUGUCCAACAACUCAUUAGCAUUGCCCAAUAAAUUUCAAUGGAUUUUUAUAUAAUAAUGUUUUCACUAUUUAAUUAUAUUGAUAUUUAAAUAUCAAGUAAAGAUUAACAAAUGUAUACAAAUUGAAAGUUAAUCUCUCUCUCUCUCUCUCACACACACACACACACAUUAAUCUCUCUCUCUCUCUCUCACACACACACACAUGUGGAAGGAUUAUGUUCUCUAACGUGUGAUGUCUUUUCCAUAUUUUUUGCAGGGGUCCAUCCUAUGGUUAGAGGGGAAAGAUGUUGCUUUUGAGGAUAAUGGCUCUUCCAAAAUUGGUGUUAGAUUUGAUAGGACUUUUCAUUUAUAUCGAGUUGCCUUUUGAAUUGAUUAGUUAUUGAAACGUUGAAUUCAUAUAUCAAAAGAAUACGAUAUGAUUGUAUUUGUACAGUAAUUGCAUUUAUAUAGUAAUUUUGGGCCAUAAAAUUUUUAAUACUACCGAUAAUAGUAUCUCUAAUUUCUUUUGAAUGUUAAAAUAAGUGCCUCAUGUGUUCAUUUUAAGACAUAUAAGUGUCCCAUAAUAUUGAUUUCGAGACAUAAAACGAAUUAUGAGGCUACAAAUAAGUGUCCAGAUACUUAAGCAAAAGACACAAAUAAGUGUCCUAUAACAUUAAUUUGGGACAUAAAACGAAUUUUAAGAUACACAUUUUUUGUCUCAAUACUUAAGAAAAUGACACAAAUAAGUGCCCCAAUAUACAAAUAAGUGCCCCAAUAUUUCUUUUCAAGGCACAAAUAAAUAUCCCUAUAAACUUGACAAUAGAAUUCGAAAUAUUUUAAAGGGCACUUUUAUGUGCCUCUACAAAUCAAUCUCGGGGCAUAUUAAAUUGUCGGGUAAUCUAUUGAUAUCGAGGCACAUAAAAAGUGCCCCCAACCCUAUUGGGACACGAUACUUGGAGGCACAUGUAUUAAGUGCCCCGAAAAUAAGAAGUGCCCCAAUAGAGCACAUAUUGGGGCACUUUUUGGUGUCCGGAAAACCAUUUUUUGUUGUAGUGUCAAAUGGGAUCCACUGUCCCAAAAUAUAGUGUGUACCACUCUUUAUUUUUUUAUAUUUAUAAAUUAUUUUUUAUUCAAUUUUAAUUUAUUAUGCUUUUAUAUAAUAUAAAGAUAAUUAACAAGGGUUCACUCAUCCAUUUAGGGUUUAUAAAUAUUUUUUUAUAUUUAUUUGAAUUAAUAAUAGAUUAUUUGGGUUCAUUAAUUCAAAGUUAGGGUAUAUAAUUUUUUAAAUUUUAAUUUUUCAAUGAUAAAUACUAAUUAGAGUUUAUAAUAUAAUAAUAAUUUUUAUUUUUAUAAAAAACAAUUUAUAAAACAAAGAAAUGAAGAGUGGUACACGCGGUACACAUAAUAUUGUGGGACAGAGGAUCCCAUCUGAAUAAUGUUAUAUAUACAAACUCGCAAAAAGCUAUUAUAAUAUAUAUCUAACAGUUAGAUGCAAUUUAUAUAAAUAAAAAUAUGAUCCAUCCUAUCUUGAUCAGUUGAUCCACAAAAACAUCAAAAUUCAUCGCCCAUCAACAUUCAUUCUUCAACUUCUUUGUGCGUCUCCUCCUAAUUUACCAAAAAAAAAAAAAAAUGAUCCAUCAGCUAAAACCAUAUAUGUACAUAUAACACGUAAUAGGUUUUUCUAUUUUCUGAUUUAUAUUAUCACAUUUUAAAAAUAUAUUAUAUUUUAUUAAGAAUAAAAUACAGAUUCGUUUAAAAAAAAGAAUAAAAUACAGAUUGAUAACCCUAAAAUCCUAAGUCUAGAGUCGUUUCUCGACUUGGUCGACGGGGGGAGCUUCAGGCGGCCGACUAGAUUCACCGAGCGUCUGCUCGUUCUUCUUGUAUAUCGCCUAGGAUGAGAAAUAAUUGAAAGAAAUUUGGUGCCUAAUGAGAGGUAUGAGAAAUUUGAUUUAAUUAUCUUUGGCCUUUGAUAAAUGAUAGCUCACCAUUAUCUAAGUUAGAAGCAUGUAUUUUUACAUGUUUAUAUCUCUUUUUCAAAUAAUUGAAAGAAAGUUUUGUCACGCUUGUAGAGAGGCAAAUCGUGGUAAUUUUUUUUCAAAAAGCGAUAUUGUUUUGCAGAUAUGUAUGGCAAUUGAAAUAUAUGUCCUUGUUCGUUUACGGCUAUGANNNNNNNNNNNNNNNNNNNNNNNNNNNNNNNNNNNNNNNNNNNNNNNNNNNNNNNNNNNNNNNNNNNNNNNNNNNNNNNNNNNNNNNNNNNNNNNNNNNNNNNNNNNNNNNNNNNNNNNNNNNNNNNNNNNNNNNNNNNNNNNNNNNNNNNNNNNNNNNNNNNNNNNNNNNNNNNNNNNNNNNNNNNNNNNNNNNNNNNNNNNNNNNNNNNNNNNNNNNNNNNNNNNNNNNNNNNNNNNNNNNNNNNNNNNNNNNNNNNNNNNNNNNNNNNNNNNNNNNNNNNNNNNNNNNNNNNNNNNNNNNNNNNNNNNNNNNNNNNNNNNNNNNNNNNNNNNNNNNNNNNNNNNNNNNNNNNNNNNNNNNNNNNNNNNNNNNNNNNNNNNNNNNNNNNNNNNNNNNNNNNNNNNNNNNNNNNNNNNNNNNNNNNNNNNNNNNNNNNNNNNNNNNNNNNNNNNNNNNNNNNNNNNNNNNNNNNNNNNNNNNNNNNNNNNNNNNNNNNNNNNNNNNNNNNNNNNNNNNNNNNNNNNNNNNNNNNNNNNNNNNNNNNNNNNNNNNNNNNNNNNNNNNNNNNNNNNNNNNNNNNNNNNNNNNNNNNNNNNNNNNNNNNNNNNNNNNNNNNNNNNNNNNNNNNNNNNNNNNNNNNNNNNNNNNNNNNNNNNNNNNNNNNNNNNNNNNNNNNNNNNNNNNNNNNNNNNNNNNNNNNNNNNNNNNNNNNNNNNNNNNNNNNNNNNNNNNNNNNNNNNNNNNNNNNNNNNNNNNNNNNNNNNNNNNNNNNNNNNNNNNNNNNNNNNNNNNNNNNNNNNNNNNNNNNNNNNNNNNNNNNNNNNNNNNNNNNNNNNNNNNNNNNNNNNNNNNNNNNNNNNNNNNNNNNNNNNNNNNNNNNNNNNNNNNNNNNNNNNNNNNNNNNNNNNNNNNNNNNNNNNNNNNNNNNNNNNNNNNNNNNNNNNNNNNNNNNNNNNNNNNNNNNNNNNNNNNNNNNNNNNNNNNNNNNNNNNNNNNNNNNNNNNNNNNNNNNNNNNNNNNNNNNNNNNNNNNNNNNNNNNNNNNNNNNNNNNNNNNNNNNNNNNNNNNNNNNNNNNNNNNNNNNNNNNNNNNNNNNNNNNNNNNNNNNNNNNNNNNNNNNNNNNNNNNNNNNNNNNNNNNNNNNNNNNNNNNNNNNNNNNNNNNNNNNNNNNNNNNNNNNNNNNNNNNNNNNNNNNNNNNNNNNNNNNNNNNNNNNNNNNNNNNNNNNNNNNNNNNNNNNNNNNNNNNNNNNNNNNNNNNNNNNNNNNNNNNNNNNNNNNNNNNNNNNNNNNNNNNNNNNNNNNNNNNNNNNNNNNNNNNNNNNNNNNNNNNNNNNNNNNNNNNNNNNNNNNNNNNNNNNAUUGUGAAGCAAUGGUAGACAAGACGAGAGGAGAAAUCAAAUGAGUUUCAAAUAUGGCCACUUUGAGUCGUCUUCAUCUUCCUUUCAUUUCUCUUCCUCUUUCUGUGCUCUCUAGAUAUGCGACAUAAGAAAUUCUUGAGUGUAAUGAAACCCAACAACAUGAUUAGAGUGAAAAUAAGACUGACCAAUUAUGAGAUGAUACAAAGUUGGAGUUCGUAGUUCUCUAUAUUCAGAUUGCUGCUCCUCCUGAAUCUGUUUCGCUGAGGCCACUGCAGAAUCCCUGCAAUAUACCAUUUCGAUUAAUUGGAGGGUUGGGAUUUCUCCAAUGCCUGCGGGGAUUUCCUCUAGCUCCCAACAACUCGUAAAAGAGAUGGCGGAGUCUAGGGAAGUUGGUUUCAUCAGCUCUCCAACGCACCAGUCUACGACAUUCGACUUGUAGAAACUGCAAUGAGCUGAAUUCAUCUCCUUCUGUUAUUUCCCACUCUUCAUUUGCUUCUUCUUCUGUCUCAUUGCUUUCGAAGGUACAUUCCUCUAUCUUGAGCACUUCCAGAUCCGGUAGUGCACACAGGACCGUCGUCGCUGCCGGAGUUAUUACACAAUUCUCCAGAUUUAAUUCUCUAAGAGUAGAUGGAAAUUUGAGUACGUGCAGAUAUUGAUCCCGUGAACUCCAGCUUAAUGUUUGGAGUUUGUGAAGAUGACUCAGAUCAACUACUUCACUCAUCCAUGGGUCUUCCACCACAUAACAGAUUUCCAACCUUUUUAUAUUUGGAAUGCUUUCCAAGAAACCCCUUCUAAUGACUGACCGACUGAGCAUCACACUCCGUAUCGUCUGCAGCUUCUUCAGAACAAUUUUUUUCAUGUAAUCAUCUUCUAUCCUGAGAUAUACACGCAAUAUGAUGAGAUGUCUUAACUCAGACAUCUCCCACAACUCAGCUGGACAAGAGCCAUCGCCUAGCUUAGCAAUCAACGUUUGCAAAUUGCACAAUCUUGAUAUUCCACUCCUUGGCAAUGAUUUGCAAUUGAUAGAUAAGUAGCGUAAGUUCACAAGUUGUAAUAUUUCUUCCGGGAACUCAAUCUCAUCAUACUUACGCAUUUCCAAUAAAUCCAACACCCUAAGCAAGCUUAAUGUGGAAACCAUGGGAGAUACAUUCCUAUCCAACUUGACCAAUAGUAGAAAUGAUCGAACAAGUAACAUCUCUGAUGAAGAAGCAUACUCAUCAUCUUCCAUUCCAUAUGAUGUGUGAAUACUCACACGACGCAGCUGGUUAGAGAAUGUGAGCUCGAUGGAGUUCUUGACAUGUAGAAACUUCUCAUCAUCAGCUUUCCUAAUGCAUAAAUCUCUCAAAAGAUCAUGCAUGUUGUAGGUCUCUGCUUUUUCAUACCAAUUAUAACUUGUAAUAACCGAAACUAGAUUCCUUUCUACAAGUAACUUUAAAUAAUCAUCUGCCUCUUCCUCCAAACUUUUAUCUCCGUUCGAUUUCACAAAUCCUUCUGCUACCCACAUCUGUAUGAGUCUUGAGGCCUUAAUCUCAUAAUCUUCAGGGAAUGCUGCCAUAUAGAGGAAACAUGGUUUCAAGUGAAGCGGCAGAUGGUUAUAACUUAAGGAUAGUACAUUCAAGAACUGCUUGUCCGAUUCAGCAAUUGCAGCUCUUACGUCGUUCCCAAUAUCCUCCCAAACAUCUUUCAAUCUUUCCACCUUUGACAACAGCCCUCCAAUCACAUUGAUAGCCAGAGGAAGCCCACCGCAAUCACUCGAAAUCUUCUUCCCUAUCCCUUGUAACUCAUGAGGGCAAUCCUCUUUUCCAAACACAAUUUGGCUAAGAAGUUCCCAACUUUGAGACUCACUCAGCAACUGCACCUGAUGAUGCAGACUCUUGGAGUCUGCAUAUUUGGCGACAUCCGAUUCCCUAGUGGUGAUCACAAUCCAACUCCCCUUAUUGUUGUCCGGGAAGUACCUCCUUAUCUCAUCCCAGAAUUUGGUGCUCCAAAUAUCGUCUAAUACAACCAUGUAUCUUCUACCACACAAGCUCCUAUACAAGAUAUCUUUUAACUCACCAUCUCCCUUUUCAUUAUGUUGGUCACAUUCUUGUUUUCCAAUUAUGCAACGAAGAAGGCUUAAUAGAAUUGAGCGCAUAUUGUAAUCUUGUGAGACUGUGGUCCAAGCAAGAUAGCUAAAGUGGUGAAGAAUGAGUGGAUCUUGAUAAAGUUUUCGAGCAAGAGUGGUUUUACCUAUACCACCCAUACCCACGAUGGGCAGGAUCUCCAGCUUGCUCUGCAUCCCGGUCAGCCGAUCCUGCAACUGCUUCAGAUCUUCAUCAACUCCCACCACCACGCUCUUCGAACUCGAGAAAGAAGCACCAUCACCACUCCAUGAGCUGCCAGUCGGCUUCUUGUUUGUCUCCACCUCCACGAGCUUCACGACUUGUUCGAUCACAGAAUCAAGUUUUUGUGUCAGUAGCAGCACAUCUGGUGUCAGCACAUCUGGUGUCGUGUCUUCUUCUUCUUCUGGCAUCGAAAACAGUCGUUCAAGCAUGUAAGAUUCAUUUGCUUCAACCAUGUGAGAUUCAACGAUAUCUUCUGCUUCAUUUGCUACGUCUCUGAUUUGGCACUCCAAGCUUGGUAUUUUGGUGAGUGGUGGAGAUUUUUCGAGAAUCUGCUGCAGGGAAGAAGCUUUUUGGAGGAGGGAUUGGAGUUGUGGUUUCUCAGGUCCAAGAAUCCAGUGUUUUUGUUGGGGAUCCAGAAUUCCUUGGAGGAUGGUGAUGAGAGAUUGAAGAUUGUAAGCCAUUUUUUAGAUCUCUUCUCACUCCAAAAAUAAACAAAACAAAACAAAAGGAAAGGAAAGCUUGUAAUUAACAAUCACAAGAUGGAAUAAUUAGCCAGCUCUUGCAGUGUUGACUUUGAUGACCAAACAAUACAAAGUCGUUACUACUCCCUCCGUCCACGAAUUAAAGCCCCGUUUGAGGGUGGGCACGGAGACUAAGAAAGCAGAAAAAGGUGUUGUGGAUGAAAUAUAAGGGUAGUUGACUAAAGUGAUAAAGUAGUUGACUAAAUGGUUAAAGGUGUUGUGUGGUGGGUCCACUAGUGAUAAAGUGUAAUAAAUAUAGAAUAUAAAAAUGAUAAAGUUGUUGUAAGGUGGGUCCAUUAGUGGCAAAGGGUAGUAAAUAUAGGAAAAGAAGAAGAGUAAAAAGGUACAUAAAGCACAAUAGGGCUUUAAUUGGUGGACAAAAAUUUAAGUGCAAGUAGGGCUUUAAUUCGUGGACGGAGGGAGUAUUUGAUAAAUAAAUCGACGAGUUGGCUAUAAUUUAAUAGGGUGGUUGUAGUUUCAACAUCAAGUUUGAAUAAUACUCCUAUAUGAUAUAGAAUCAAUAGUGGAAGCUGACAAUAGCCGUCUGAAAUAAAUAUGCCCAAAUCAUAGUACAGCGCAUUACACAUUUAGCCCACGUUUGGUCGGGUGUUUUUAGAGGUUGGAAAGGAAAUCAAGUAAUUAAAUCCAUUACUUGUUGUUUGGUUUGAGUAAUGGGAUAAUCAUUACCCUUACUUGAGGGUAUUCCAAUCCAAAUGGAAUCAUCUGUCCCACAAUUUAGUGUGUACCACCGUGUACCACUCUUAGUUUGAUAUAAUUUUUAAUUAUUUUUUCUUUAAUUUUAAUUUAGUAUGCUUUAAUAUAAUAUAAAGAUAAUUAUCAAGGGUUCACUCAUCCAAGUAGGGUUUAUAAUUAUUUUUUUAUAUUUAGUUGUAUUAAUAAUAGAUUUUUUGGGUUAAUUAAUUCAAAGUUAGGGUAUAUAAUUUUUAAAAAUUUCAAUUUUCAGUGAUAAAUAUUAAUUAGAGUUCAUAAUCUAAUAAUAAUUUUUAUUUUUAUAAAAAAUAAUUAUAGAAUAAAGAGAAUAUGAGUGGUACACGGUGGUACACACUAAAUUGUGGGACAGAGGAUCCCCUCCGAUUCCAAUCACCCAAUUUGUUACCCCUUAAAAUAGAGGGGAAACAAAAGAAAGGGAAUCCCUUGUUAAUGAUUCCUUUCCAUUAUUAAACCAAACACUCAAUAAAAGUAAUGUUUAUUGUUACCAUUCCACUCCUUUAUUUGAUUCCAUUCCCUUUCCAUUCCUCUACUUGAACCAAACGAGCACUUAGAGGAAAGCAUAUCAGAAUUAAUGGAUACAUAUACGAAUUAAUGAUGUAAUUUAUAAUGUACUCCUUAUUAAUUUAUUAAUUCUAAUUAAGAAUUAAUUAGGAUGAAUGAAUACGCCAAAAUGUGCUUCAUUUUUUAUAUAUUGUUGGUGAAUAUAUUUGUUCUUUUUUAUUGGAAUAGGACGCAAAUAUGCCCUCAACGUUUAUUUAAUGUUAAACGUUUUCGUAAGCCAAAAACAUGGCAUCAAUCAAAUGGUAAAUAAGAUAAAAGAGGUGAAAUCAGAAAUAGUCAUUUUACUUAGUUAAAACAAAAGGAAUUAAAAAAAUUAAUUACAACUAAAAUUAGCCACUCUUAUAACGAUAUCCUUAAAAUUAGCCACUUUUCUAAUUUUAAUAUUUUACAAUUCUAAGAAUUAAAAAAAUACAUCUUUUGCAACAAAAAGAGAUAGAGAAAAGGAGAAAAUUGGUCUCGUUUGUGUUUUAGAUUUUGUAUGUUUGGAUGCAUGAAACACGAACUAUGCAUGCACAGUAUUUUUAAAAAAUUAUUAAGUAAUUUUUGUGUUUAUAAGCACAAUAUACUUUUAAAAAUUAUUAAGUAAAUGGUAAGAACAUAAUGAGAGGACAAAACUAAUUAUCUAUUCACCACAAAGUCAAAAAAAAAAAAACUAAUUAUCUAUUCACCUAAAAAUAUCAAUAUAACAAAUAAUAGAAUUUACAAAUUCAGGUACAAUAGAAUUUAGAGUAUUGCAAACGUUAAAAACACAAGAGACCGCAGUAAUGAAAUUUCACAUGAAUCAAUUUAAUAUUUCAAAUUUAUUUUCGAAUUUAAAUAAUGAAAAUGGUUAGGCCCAAUAUGUUUAGAGGCGAGUAUUGGACUAUUGUUUUUUUUAUAGGUUAAUUGCAAAAAGAAACCUAAGUUUAAUUUUAGAAUACUGUAUUUUAUAAAUGUCGUAACAAUAACACUAAAAAUAAUAAUUGGUGUAAGUAACCUAUCAAGAUUGGAUUUAGUUCAUGUUUGAACUAAUUGAAGAAAACUCGUUCUUUUUAAUUAAAAUUAGAAUUAAAAUUUCAAAAAUCAACUAAUGGAAUUGAAUUGAACCAAAAUUAAUCCAACAUAAUUUAGAAAAGAACCUAACUAUAUCGAAUAGGUCAAAUCAAUUUGAUUCGAUUUCGAUCACCUUUUACAUUAUGCAGCAUGAAAUUCCUAUUUCUUUAUUCCGGUUAAUUUUUUACUUUUUACAAUACCAUUUAUCGAAAAAAGUCUAUAACUUAAGCGCCCGUUUGAUUUUCAGUAUUGGAUUAAUCAGGAUAUAAAUUAUCCUGAUAAUUUAGUGUGGAUUAGUCAUGAUUUCUAAUCUCAGAUGAGUGUUUGAUAUCAUUGGUAAUUAAUCCCAAAAAGUGUUUGGUAUCCAUUGAAAUAGGUUGGAUUAACAUAUCAAAUACCUAAAUUAGUAGCCUAUGGAGGGGUGGAAUAAUUAGUGUGGGUUAAUCCCAUGGGGGAGGUGGGAUAAUUAGUGUGGGUUAAUCCCACAAAAUAAGCAGGUCUUGGGAUAAACCUGGAGUUGACCAUAUUAGUAACACAUAAUAUCAAACACUACAUAAAUCCAUAUUAAUUUAACUUAUCAUGCUUUUAAACCCAUAUUUAGUUGUGUAUUGAUAAAAUAUACAAAAUAUUAAUGUAUAUAUAUAUAUAUGUGUUGUGUGUGUGUGUAAUGGAUUUGGAAAUAGAAGAAACAAAAGGAAAAUGUGCGUUGGAAUGAAUCUUUUAAUACUCAAUACUCCACAACGUCAUAUCAAUAUCAUGUCAUAACACGUUUUAGGAUAAUUGCAAAAUAAAUCACAAUCUUAAUUCAUUUUGCAAUUCCAAUCUCAUUUUCAAAUUCUUGCAAGUAAAUACUAAAUCUUUUUACUUUUCUAAUUAGUAUUUAUGUCUAAUGUUGAUAACCCUAUGUAGUAUUUGGUUCAGGCUCAAUCUCUUCGUCCCCCUCAGCAGCUUCCCCGUUCGCCUCCUCCCCCUCGGCAGCUUCCUCGUUCGCUUCAUCCACCUGAGACGGAUGAGGCGGCAAAAUCCGUGUGAUGGUCUCUACGAGCUCUUCGGCCUUAUCUUCCAUACGUGGCUCCGACCCACAUUCCUCUAUGAACUGGUAAAAUUGAGAAGAUAAACAUGCAAGAAUCAUUACCAAUGCUGGUAAAAAUGUCUAUUAAAGAAGAACCCAAGAUAACAACACCCCACAAAUAUAUUCCUAAAGAAACUAACUCAUAAGACUACCACAGGAUAUCCCAAUCCCUCGUUUGUUCGGCGCUGUGAUUAAGUUUUCCUAGAAGUGAAGAACAAAAACGGACAACUACAACUUCGAUGUUUUUUUCGUUGAGCACCUAAAAGAGGAAACAUAACAUGGCCAAUGCCCCUUGUUUUCAUUUUCUCCAUUUCUGAUAAUUAAAUAACUUCACCUAAACACAUCACUAUCUAGUUAUCAAGUAUACACAAUACUUAACACAAUUUAAUGGUUCUUAAGCAUGAUAACCAGCUUACCACUUGGUUUCAAAAGCCCCCUGGAUUUCAUUUUAAUGCUCAUAAACGAACAUAACAUUGUGUCCACACGGGGUAUAACUCUACCGUACAAAAUCAAAACUCUUUUUGUGAGCUAUACCCCUUUCUUGACAUGAUCAAUCCAGAUAAUAUAUCAUAAUAUGAAAUACUCCAGACUCAUUCUAUGCAGCUAGAAGCAAUUGCAGCUUCAGUUCAUUGUAAUGCUUCACUCCUAUGAAGGUUAGCAAUAUCAGAUUCCAUGCUAUGCAUGUCACAUUUAUUAGUAUCAGUUUUAUUGUGACGAGGAUUCCUUCAUGUGCGUGUGAGUUCAGGGUAUCGGGAGGAACACUAUAGUAAUUGAAACUAAAGUUCCAAGUGUAAGCAUCAACAACAAAUUUCUCAACCUUUGAUUUCCCUCUAAAUUAAACUGAGAUAUAUGCAAAUUUUGCAAUGGUGGUGAACAACAAACAGAAAAGAAUACCAAAUAUUCUCAUAUUCGCCAUACAUUUCCAUAAACCGAAGGCAUAGCAUCUCAAACUGAUUCAGAAAAAUAAUAUCUUCACCUAGUAUUUGAACUAAGGGUCACACUGAUCCACCACUUUUUAACAUAACUUGGAUUGCAAAACUCAACAUAAAUGGACAGGCAACAUUGAUAAAUUUCACAAUGUGGAUGGCUCUUUCAACUAAAAGAUGCAAACAAUCUGAGAAAACAACACAGCAAGGAUUAAAAGCAGACCAAUGAAAAGGAAAUCGACAACAACAAACGACAGAGAUUACCGGGAAAAGCUCAGGUUCACUUCUUGGUCUUAUAUUCACAAUAUUAAGAAUCUCUGCCUUGGCCAGGUCAAAUUUUUGGCACUCUUCAACAAAGUUAUCAAUAAUCUCCCUUGUUUGAUUGCAAGCAAUAGUCCCCUCUAGAUAAUCAAAAACCUAAACGGAAAACGAAAAACGAAAAAUAUGAGUAAUGCAAUAAAUGUCUAACAUAACCUGAUGAUCAUAACUACGAAUUCCCAACCUUGAACUCAGAUUGAGAUACGGUUGCAAUAGCUCGAGAAGCAUCCUUUCCAGCUCCUCUUGAUCUCAAAAGGUCAAGAACUUCGAAAUUAGUAAGAGCACCGGCACUGGCCUCAACUCUGAAACAAAUUAGAGAAAUAGAUUAGAGAAAAAAGGUAACUGCUUUCUAUGUUAAUUCUCUAUUGAGUAGAAACUCUCUACAUACACUUUCAUCGCCGCCACUGGCAAGUGGUGUCCAGGUAAAUAUGGCUGCCAUAAGUGAUGGUAGACAAUAUCAGACAAACCGGAAUCAUUUUUGUUAUUCACGCAUAAUAAUUCGAAAUAAAAUGUUAAAAAUUACCAGUGGUGCGGAUGGAGGGCAACGGCUUCAACCUUGAGCUGCUGCUGCGGCCUGCGGCGCGGAUGGAGGGCGGCGGCGCCGGCAACCGAGUGAGAGAGAGAGAGAGAGAGAGAUGAGAGUGCGUCUGUGCGUGAGUUCACUGAAUUAGAAUUGGGGGUUUAGGGAUUCCAUUUCAAUUCAGAAAUUACUCAAUUAUAAAUUUAGAAUAAUAAAAUAGAAAUUAUAAUUAAAUUAAAUAAAUAUGUUUCGCUAGAGCAUCUCCAAUGCGGCGAUUUUUGCCCCGGAUCGACACGUUUUUUGCGUCGCACCGCCGCGGGUCGGAGAAGGCGAAGGGUGGGGCGCGUUCCCCAUGCGCGCUGAUUAAAAAAAACUAUUUUUUUUUGAAAAUUUUGAUUGUUUCUCCGAUUUUUUGCUUCAUUCUUUUUGUUUCUUUUGACCGUUUUAAAAAAAAGGCUAGUAGCCAUUUUUAAAAUUUUUUCUCUCAUUCUUCCCAUUGUUCUCUCAUUAUAUAUUUUUCCUCUAUUUUUGUGUUCCUCAAUUUUUAAAUUAUGCAAUUUUUAGUUUUAAUGUAAUAUUUAAAUUUUAUUUUCAAUAAAAAUUAAACAUUUUAACAUAAAAGUGUUGAAAAUGGAAUUUUGGUGGAAAUGAGGAUUUUAGCGCCAAGAUACUAAGAAGUAUGCCUUGGAGGGGGAGGUGCUUAAGGUGGGCACCACUCUUUAAGACCCAACUUAAGUACUUUCCAUUGGAGAUACUCUGUAACCUGAUAAUCGCAAUUUGAUUACCUAAUUAAUCGAUAUCCAAAAUUUUUAGAAAUUAUUAAUCACAUAUUGAUUUGAUGAUAAAGAAAUCAAUUAACGAAUUAAUUAAUAUCCGAUAUCCAUUUAAACAAUCAAACCACUAUAUGAAACAUUAUCUCUAUUACUAUAAUGUAAUUUUAUCAAUAAAGAGUAUAGGUUUGGGAAAUCAGGUUGGAUUCGAGUAUUCUAUCUGAAAAAAUUGGGUACUCGAGCCCGAAUUAGAAGGGACACUCUGUACUAAUCCCGAACUCGAUUUUAUAAUCAAGUACCCUAAUACCUGAACCGAAUAUUUAGGUACCCUAAAUUACCCAGUCAAAUAUCAAGUUUCAGAAGUCAAAUCGUUAAUUCGGGUACAUAGGAUAUACGGGUAUCCGAAUUACCCGAUUUGACUUAAUAGAGUAUUUUGAUUAACUUAAUGUGAUUUUAUUUAUUUACUUGUAUAAUUUUGCUGUUGCGCGGCACUAAAGUCAUACAAGAAAUUUAUUUUAUUAUUUUAUCCUAUAUUUUAUAGCUCAUAAAUUAAGUUCAGGAUUAUAAAAUAUAGAAUAAAUAGUAAAUAUUUAAAUACUUAUUAUUAUGAUUUUAGAAAGAGGAUUAUAAGGAGUAAAAUGUGGGCUAUAAAUAGAAUGACCUCCAACAUUAUAUAUUAAUGUUCAAGAAGUAAUAUCAUGCAUGCCAACAUUAUAUAUAAUUCAUUUGAAACACCAAAUUAAUUAAUUUUGACAAAAUAUAUAUCGAUGAAAUUAUAACAUACUAAGAGCAUCUGCAGUGGGUGACACGAUAGGGUGACUCGAGUCACCCACCGAGAUCGUGUCACCCACUGCAAGCCACAUUGACACGAGGCUGCCCCAAAGUAUCGUGCUAGCCACGAUGUGUAUAAUUCCGGGCGCGUUCUGUGCACGCGCCUAUAUAAAAAAAAUCGAAUUUUGAAUUAAAAGAGGCCGGUCCAUGGCAGAUUUUCAGUCAAAGUGACCGUUUCAAAUUUAUUAUUAUUAUUAUUAUUAUUAUUAUUAUUAUUAUUAUUAUUAUUAUUAUUAUUAUUAUUAUUAUUAUUAUUAUUAUUAUUAUUUCUUCUUUAUCUUCUCUUCUUCACUUUUCUUCUUCGUUCUUCUUCUUCUUUCUCUCACUAUUCCCUAAACCCUAAUUCUACUACCAAAAAAAAAAAAAAAAACUCAAGAUGGAUCUAUACGACCCCAAUUAUUACGAUUCUAGUUGGGUUCCCGACAUGUCCACCGAUUACCACCCCGAUUUAGGUGGUAUCAACUUGGAGGAGGAACCUCCCGAGGAGGAGACGCCGCCGGCCGCCCACAUUGCGUCCCGGCCAAGAGACGGUUGGUGGAAGGCACCCGCCGUGAAGAAGAAGGCGGCGCCGACGGAGGAGGGGCGGACCGCACGGCACACAUACACAGGCGAGGAGACAAACCUUCUUGUCCGUGUUUGGAUGGAGGAGACGAACGACGCCAUCUGGGGCGUCGACCAAAAGGGGAAGACCUAUUGGGGCCGAAUUCUGCAGAAAGUUAACUCCUUCCUCGGCGCCGACUUCAAAAUCCGGCAACGGAAGGGCCACUUCGGUCGAGUGGCACAGGAGGUGAGGAUGUGGGAGAACAUCUGGGUCGAGGUGUCGACGAACUGGCCAUCCGGCUAUUCCGACGACAUGAUCAUACAAAAGGCCCAAGUCAUCUUCUAAGGAAAGAGCCCCCAUUCCCCUUCGACUACUGGAAUGCAUGGAGGAUGCUUCGCCAGAAUCGAAAGUUCAAAUCUAUGUAUCUCGAGGGCGACGUCCAUUCCAGCAAGAGGACGAAGACGUCGGAGACGGGAGACUUUUACUACCUCGGCGUCGGGCGAGGAAAUCGAGUCUUCAAGGCCGAUUGGAAACAAGGCGGUCAAGGCGGCGGCAAGGGCGGCGAAGGGGAAAGGGAAGGCACCGCAGAGCUCCGAGCCUCCACUCGAGUAUGUGUCGAGGAUGGAGAGAUCGGAUGAGAACAUCCAAAGAAUGAUGGUUGAGGUUGUUAAGACGAACGAAAUUCGAAAGCAGGCGGCGUAUGACCGGGUUUUGUUCAUGAAGACCGAGGGCAUGGAUCCGAAAACCCUCGCCAUCCACAAGUAGCGGUGCACGAAUAUCCUCAAGGAGAUGAAGAAGGAUGGACUUAUUUAGGAUUUUUUAUGUUUAGUUUUUAAUUAAGUAAUUUUAAUAAUGUGUCUCUAGGAUUUUUUUUAUGUAAUUUUUAAGGUUUUUAAUAUUAUUGAAGUUUAAUUUUAAGAAAAUUGUAUUAUUUAAAUUUCUGUAAUUAAAAUUAAAUGAAAAAUACAAAAAUCAAAACUAAAAAGAUCAUGUCAGCUAUUAUGUCAUUCCAUGCAGCCUCACUGACGCCAUGUGAUCCCCCUCUAUCAUGUCAGCUAUCAUAUCACUCCCACUGCCGAUGCUCUAAAAGAAAAUCCAAUUAAAAGUUCAAGUCUCAUUAAAAAUCCCAUGGUAAAAACCCAUAAAACACACUAAUGAGUUUCAAAUGUGGCCACUAAAUUUUAACUUAAACUAUUAAACAACACAUUCAUGUUAUCUAAAUUUUAAUCUUGGCCUACCAAAUACAACACUAAAUUACAUAGGUUUCAUUUCCUAACAUAGGCCUUCUAGUUAUUAAUUAUCAUCCCUUAACCAACAUAUUUUAUCAAACACCCCCUAAAAAGGGAAAAGGAGUUAGUCUUUUAUUACAAAGCACCAAACAAAUGAGGAAAAAACAAGGCAGUAAAAAAAACACCAAAAUGAAAAACAAUGCAAAUUGUGAAGCAAUAGUAGACAAGAGAGGAGAAAUCAAAUGUGGCCACUUUGAGUCGUCUUCAAUCUUCAUCUUCCUUUCUUUUCUCUUCCUCUUUAUUUGCUCUGUAGAUAUGCGACACAAGAAAUUCGUCAGUUUAAUGAAACCCAACAACAUGAUUAGAGUGAUAAUAAGACUGACCAAUUAUGAGAUACGAAGUUGGAGGUCGUAGUUUCCGUAUUCAGAUUCCUGCUCCUCCUGAAUCUGUUUCGCUGAGGCCACCACAGAAUCGCUGCAAUAAUCUAAGUGGAUUAAUUGGAGGGUUGGGAUUUCUCCAAUGCCGACGGGGAUUUCUUCUAGCUCCCUACACCUUCGUAUAAAGAGAUGGCGGAGUCUAGGGAAGUUGGUUUCAUCAGCUCUCCAACGCACCAGUUUUAAACCAACGAGUUGUAGAAAGUGCAAUGAGCUGAAUUCAUCUCCUUCUGCUAUUUCCCACUCUUCAUUUGCUUCUUCUUCUUCUUCUUCUUCUUCUUCUUCUUCUUCUGCUAUUUCCCACUCUUCUUCUUCUAUUUCCCACUCUUCUUCUUCUUCUGUCUCAGUGCUUUUGAAGGUACAAAACAUUAUCUUGAGCACUUCCAGAUUCGGUAGUGCACACAGAGCCGUCGUCCCUGCCGGAGUUAUUACACACAACUCCAGACUUAAUUCUCUAAGAGUCGAUGGAAAUUUG
rnacentral:lncRNA from 1 species